rnacentral:rRNA from 1 species
UACAGAGGGGGCAAGCGUUGUUCGGAAUUACUGGGCGUAAAGGGCGCGUAGGCGGCCUUCUAAGUCGAACGUGAAAUCCCUGGGCUCAACCCAGGAACUGCGUCCGAUACUGGUUGGCUUGAAUCCGGGAGAGGGAUGUGGAAUUCCAGGUGUAGCGGUGAAAUGCGUAGAUAUCUGGAGGAACACCGGUGGCGAAGGCGGCCUGCUGGGACAGUGCUGACGCUGAAGCGCGACAGCGUGGGGAGCAAACAGG